ensembl:lncRNA
CAUUCAGGCUGGUGCUUCUCAAACUUUUGGGUGCCUGAGAACCUCUUGGGGAGCUAAUGAUGGCACAGAUACCUGGCCCUCCUUCCAGAAAUUGAGAUAGGAAAACAUGUAACAGAUACAGUCACCGGAACAGGAGCUCAGAGCUAAGAAACUCGAGCAUCUCUCUGACUGCACGACCUUGGCUUCAACACCACCCUGCAGCAGUUCGGCGUGAUGGUCAUUAAGUCAGCCUGUCUCUCCAAGCCUUGAUGACCCCACCCCUCGGAGACCUUGGGAAAAAGCACUUGUCUCUUGUGUGCCUUUAUUUAACCCAGGCCGAUGAGUAAAGUGCCCCAGCCCGGAUGGGGUGGUUGACAUCCAAAGUGCCAUUUAAAAAGCGCUUUGAUAUGAAGUGCUCCGUAAGAACUUGUUCUUCUGUUUAUAGCAAACCAUUCCCAUGAAGAAAAUUAAGUGGAGACUGGGAGUGAACAAGUGAGUGAGCGGUCGGCUGGGCAAAGGCAUUUAGAUCCGGAGGGGCUUGUCACACACACUUUGAGGAUUUAUCAAGCUCAAACUUUUUUGUGGGGCCGUGGGAAGGGGGGAGUCGUUGCCUAGCAGGUGUUCAUUCUGGCCCUGAAUUUAGAUCAGAACUUGACAAAUUCAUCCAUGGAGUUUUCAAAAUCUCCACUCCCAACAGGAAGGCAAGAAAUGGAAAGAAUGUCAGUCAGUAUGGUUGGCAGUGGCCCCUGGAAUCCAAAUGGCCCUCGAAAAGAACACUUGGGGAGGAGAAACAUUUGAAUCACUUAAAUCUGCUGAGAAAUUGCCCUGUGUGGAAUGCUCGGGAGCGUGACGAGUGCAUGAGCAAGCUCUCAGGGUGACUGUCACCCAUGGGGGAACGACCUAAUGGGAGGCCAGCCGUCUGUGGAGGCUAAACCAUAGAAGAGAUGUUGCCUUCUGGAGACCGUGACUCUGCUCCCAUUCAGGGCUGCUGUGUGUCACUUAAAGUUGAUUGCUCCCUGCAUUCAAGGAUGUCUCCCAGAGAUCUCGGCAGUGCUGGUUAAGAUGGCCAUUACUGUUUUCAACCCCCUUUGGCCAAGAGCAGAGGGAGGAGUCUGGCUCUUGAUCUCUCUCGCUGCUGCAGGAAGCCUGCAGGAGGACGUGAUUAGUGGUUAGCCUAUCUCUAAAAGCCCUGGGGAGCCAGGGGUAGGAAGGAAGGAAGGAAGUUGUGUAGGAUAAACAAAACAAAGCAAAACCAAAAAAAGCUGCAGGCAGAGUAUUUCAGAUGUGCAAGGAUCUGUAAUUCACAUACUCAUGGGACAGUUGAGGGUUAGGACCUGGGUUAAAUGUUUUCAUAUGAAAUGGAAAUACCAGGAAAAAAGCAAUGGAGAGGGUGGAGGGCCUGGCUUGGUUUAAAGAGGUCCUGGAAACAGAUUCCUCUUAUGCUUCUGAAUCUUUAGAUGCAUCAAGUCCUAUACAAAAAUUGUUUAAAAGUGUAUCUAGCAGAUUUCACCACAAGGCCGUGUAUAUUGCUGGUCUGCCUUCAGUUUUCCAUGACAGGAUGAAAUACACAUUUGAUUUAGUUGAAAAUAACUGAUCACUUUUUUAAAAAACUAUGGUUUAAAAGAAGUGAAUAUAUGAAUAAAAAGUAUGAAAUGAUCUCUCGAGUGCUCAUCAAAACCCAUUCCAAAUGAAGGAGUCUCCAGCAGAAACUAUUUUAGAGGAAGGGGACUGUUGCCUGGUGACCUUCACAAUUCAGUACUUUUCUAAUCAAAGAUUCUUCAGGAUUAAUGCUGUGAGCAACACCUCAGAGAUGUGGUUUUUUUGACAUCUUAAUGUUGAAAGAUUU